rnacentral:rRNA from 1 species
GACGAACGCUGGCGGCGUGCCUAAUACAUGCAAGUAGAACGCUGAAGGAGGAGCUUGCUUCUCUGGAUGAGUUGCGAACGGGUGAGUAACGCGUAGGUAACCUGCCUGGUAGCGGGGGAUAACUAUUGGAAACGAUAGCUAAUACCGCAUAAUAUUGACUAUUGCAUGAUAGUCAGUUGAAAGGUGCAACUGUACCACUACCAGUUGGGCCUGCGUUGUAUUGGCGAGUUGGGGGGGUAAAGGCUCACCAAGGCGACGAUACAUAGCCGACCGGAGAGGGGGCUCGGCCACACUGGGAAUGAGACACGGCCCAGACGGCUACGGGAGGCAGCAGUAGGGAAACGUCGGCAAUGGGCGGAAGUCUGACCGAGCAACGCCGCGUGAGUGAAGAAGGGUGUCGGAUCGUAAAGCUCGGUUGUAAGAGAAGAACGAGUGUGAGAGUGGAAAGCUCACACUGUGACGGUAUCUGACCAGAAAGGGACGGCUAACUACGUG